AUGAUCUGUCCACACUCUCUCCCCUUGUCUCUGCAUAAUUCUCAUUAAAAAUCUUCACCCAAAUUCUCCUUUGCCCCCAGCAUCCUGUCUUGAUUCUAAUGAUGCACCUUGGCCACAUCAUUGCUGUUGCAUUAGGCUCUCCUCUCUUCCCUCAGAGCCCCACUGAGCAGAUCAACCAGGAGCUCAGCCUCGGCCUGCCCAUCCUUGUGCGAGGGGACCUCAUCUAGGAAGGUCAAGACCUUCAGCUUGGCCAUGUAUUGAGGACAGAAUCAUGGAUGUGCAUGGAACUGGCUUUUGGGCUCAGUGGCCCUAAGACAUCUUCCAGCCUUUAGAAUCCAUAAACCUCUAGAGCUCUAUUCAUAGCAGAAAUAUACACUUCCAUGUGGCACUGAACUAAAUUAGAGAUAAUCCAUUGGCUGUGGACAGGCCUGGAAGUAGUUUGAUUAAUUAGGGGCCAAUAUCAUGCAUGCAGUGUACCUUCACUGCUCCUGCUGUGGCUGUACAUUAGCAUUCGGCUGUUGCAGAGAUUUGAAUAGUACCUGUUUCCCUGAAGGAAAACUUCAAGGUCUAUUCAUUUGCUAAGGGCUAAUAUUUUUCCCAGGGGAUAAAGUGCUAGGCCAUUAGCCCUGGACUUGGAGAGACUGUGUUCACACAGUAUAAGGAGAGCCUAAGGGGAUUUCCUCGCCCCUCCCUGCUUUCUCUGCACCCUCCUGGGAAGGAGUUUUGUGCUUCCCAUGCUGCCUCUCUUUGGUGGGAGUGAGGGUGAUGUAGUCUUUGCUCUUGUGGGAAAACUUCUUCCCUAUGAGACAAUGAAACAUCCAGCUGUAAUUCAACCUUGCUCUUGCUAAAAAAAGAUCAGAUUAUUGAGACUUUUUUUUUUUCUUUUUGGCCUUCACAUAUUUAUUCCUGAGGCAAAGCGCUAUACAGAAACAACAACAUAAAGAGAACCCAUUUCCUGAUACAUCCAGCUGUGGCUGUGCUGUUUUCAGUGCGAUAUGGGAAGAUGCAAGGACGUGACCGCCAUGCAGCACAAACACAUGCACCACCUCAUGUGCGGAGGCUCCUUACAAACCCAGCUUCGUUCUUCUCCAAUGGCUUCUGUUCGAGUUGUGCCUGAUUUUAUUACCAGUUUUCAUUCAAAUCCAUUGGGGAUGGGACGAUUCUGCUUUUGCUUCUUGGCCAGGAAUCGCUUGAUCUUGAAAGUCUCAUGAGAAGACAUGGCAAAGAACUAAUUCAACUGCACAUAGGAUGGCGGAGAAGAGAAGAGAGCUAUCGAGACUUUUUUUGGUCAAGCAAGUUAAGGAUUAGGACUGCAAAGGGUAAACAGCAAUGGCAGGACUCUAUGUUUGUAGAACUGAGCACAAGUUAGAGCCUUUUCCCAUUCAGUAAUUUAUUGAUUUUUUGUUCUCAAGUUCUUUUUGUGAUUUCUUAUUUUUACAGAUUAUACUCUAUUUAAAGUCAUUACAGAGUAUAGGCUAUAUUCCAUGUGCUGUAUAAUAUAUCCUGGUAGCUUAUUUACUUUAUUCAUAGUCGUUUGUAGGUCUUAAUCCCAUAGCCUGAUCUUGCCCCUCCCCCUUCUCUCUCCCAUUGGUCUCAUCUAGUUUAUUCCCUAGACAUGUGAGUCUGUUUCUGUUUUGUUAUAUGCAUUUGUUUGCCUUUUUUUUUUAAAUUUUAGAUUCUACAUAUAAGUGAUAGAGUAUUUGCCUUUGUCUGACUUAUUUCACUAAACAUAAUACCUUUUAGGCCAAUCCAUGUUUUUUCAAAUGGCAGAAUUUCAUCCUUUUUUUUAUGGCCAACAGUCCAUUGUGUAUACACACCAUGUUUUCUUCAUCCAAUCUCCUCUUGAUGAACACUUCGUUUGCUUCCAUAUCUUGGCUAUUGUAAAUAAUGCUGCUGUGAACACUGGGGUGCACAUAUUAGUGUUUCAAAUUAGUGUUUUUGUUUACUUCGGAUCCCUGGCCUUACUCAGUGAGUUAAGAAUCCGGAGUUGCUGUGAGCUGUGGUGUGGGUCACAGAUGCAGCUCAGAUCCAGUGUUGCUGUGGCUGUGGCAUAGGCUGGUGGCUACAGCUCCGAAUGGACCCUUAUAUAUGAUAAGAAUGCAAGGUGAGGUGGCUUAAGAUGUUGCCCACGCAGAGCCUCCCUUUUUUGCUUCGGAUUUUGAGCCUCCCUUUUAAUUCCAUCAUUUCUUUGGAAGGAAGGAGUACACUCUUCCACACUUGCAGAAGCCUUGGCAAUGUUCUUUCUGGGGGACAGGGAAUCCUCUAAGUGUCUGGGGGCCACAGUAAAAAGUGAAGAAGCUUGCUAACUCUGUAUUGGCGUGCGUGUCUCUGAGUGUGUGUACAGAUGUGUUUGAGGCCAGUUGGCAAAAAUCAGAUCACAAAACUCCUGGGAAAAGUCCCAGGUAGUGUUUCUAGGAUGUUUCAACAGCCCAUAUGAAAGGAAAAAAAAUCACUCUCUAUAUAUCUAUAUCCUUACCUAAAUUUAAAGGAUAUGCUUUAAAAAAAAUUACUUGAAUUUACGAGAUACUUUGCCAUUGGGUAGAUAUAUUCUGGUCUAAAUUUUGCCCUAACUUGGCACCUAUUGACUGCUCUGACCUUCAAUGUUAUCAUAUCCUGGUUAGUGGUAAGUGGAUCAUCAUCUAUAGUUUUCCAGUAGCUUCACAUUUGAGGUUGUUUUGAGCAUUUCCUUCUAAACAGGAAAAAGUCCUUGGUUGCAGGUCCUAGAACUAUCUUGCCUCUGUCCUCUCCUUGUGGAAGUGAUAAUAGCUGUGGAAUAGAGCUGACAAAUCCUGCUAGGAGAUGCUGCCAGGUUCCAACGAAACCCACCUAAGUUCGAAGCUUUUGGUUUGCAAAGUACCUACGUAUUUGAUAAACCAGAAAGGGAGGCAAGCCAUUGACUUAAAAGUACAAAUGGCUAUCAGGGUCUUUGUUACCAAGCUAUUGCCUCUUGAAUGGUAUUGUCCUCGAGUGUGAGAGCAACUGAUCCAGGAGGCAAGGGGAGUAGCCUUAAACCUCACUGCAUUAGGCUGCUAGACAGAAUUCGAUGAGGCUCCAAGAUAUGCAAACACAUUGCAUAGCCCAUAGGGCCAUCUGACUCCUUGAAAACACUUUAUUGAAAGAAUCCUUCAUUGUAAAAUUUCUCCAAGAAAUGUGGUCUUCUCAAUUCCUUAAUAAAUCAUCCUGUUCUUUCUCAGUGGACAAUGUGGACAGUAUUUACUUGAUUUGAAUAAAUGACUAGCGAAUGCAUAAGGAAGCUCCUUGUUAAAAUGCAUCAAUUGAUUAAUGACUUGGGCAAGAAUCACGUUACGGCUCUUUGCUGCAUUAUUAGUCAUUUUACAAUAAUGGCUUCCUGUCACUUUAAAAGGCAAUUUUCUUUAUGGAAACUCAGUUAUAAUCACAUGUGUUUGGAAAGGUUAGUUAGUUAGUGAAUAUGUGACUAUCCUUGCCCUGUGACCAUUCAGUGACUUUGGCUUUGCAGGAAAAAUUUAUGAAGUUUUUGAACAGGAUGCCCUUGAAGAGGAAUGCCUAGCAAUAUGUAGAAUCAUAGAGCUGGUUGAGCCCUUAGAUAUUCUCCUGCCAAAACCCUUAAUGUUAUAAAGGAGGAAACUGAGGUACAGAGGUGACGUCAUGGCUGCUCACUCUAUAUCAGCAUGUGUUUCUCGGACACCUCUGCUGUGCCUUGUACAGCACUAGGUGCUGGGGGAAAGGCACGGCUUUGGUCUCGUUUCCCCUGUAGGUGCAAAGAUUAAGCUGCACAUACAAGCAUUUUAAGAUAGCAUAUGGCAAUAUAUCAAGUGUGAGUAAGUGUGGUGCAGGCUGAGUUUUAUAGCCAAGCUCCACACUGGGAUCAUUCCCUGUGCCAGGGUGGAAAAUGGAGCAGGCUUUGAGACAGAGCAGAGCAGUGGGAACGUCAUCCUGUGGUGCAACAUAAAGCUGGACUGUGUGCAGCUUCCGUCCAGGUCAUGUAUGCAAAACUCUUGGGAGGGUCAGAAAGUCACACUUAGAACUACUGUGCCUAUAAGAUGAGAAAAGCCUGAAGUUCCUUCCCCAUGGGAUCUCCUUCCUCCUCACUCUGGCAGUGUCUUUACACAUGGGAGGUCAAAUGUGUGUAUGUGCUUUUAUACACCAUGUUCUGGCUAUUUCAACCACCAAAGAGAGAUCUGGGUUAUGGAAUCCAAUUGGUUGGACAAUGAAUAGCUCUUUAAAUGGCCCCAAGCAGCAAAUGGUGUAAGGUGGAAACAAAGUACAUCUCCUUUGUAAGUGGUCCUGUCAUGUGUUAGAUGUUUGCCAAUCCAUUUCUUUUUUUCUAGGCACAAAGGAAGACUACAUUUCCCAGACUCUCUCACGGGUUGGUUCAGACCCUGUGACAGCAAUCUGGCCAAUAAGAUGUGGGAAGGAGUGAUGUGCUCUACUUCUGAGUUGCACAUAAAUAUGCCUGUGUGGUCCCCACCCUCUCCAUUCUUCUGUCUUCCUCCAUGGUCACAUGUCCAGAUGGUAAAACUACUGUAUAACCACAAAAUGGAAAGAACAUGCACCCCUGGGUCACUGCUUCCAGUAGAGUCUCCCCUUCACAACCAUGCUAAUGUUCAGUGAACUAUUACAUUACUGGAGGAACUUAGAAUACAUCCCUUAGAUUAUGUAUUUGCAACAAACCAUUCGUGGUCAUUUCAGUGGCAUUCUUCAUAUUUUUGCUAGCUUUUUACCUAUUUGUGGCUGCCAAAGGACAUUUGAACUCCUCUCUUCUGUAUUUACUCAAAAUUGUUGAAGAACGAUGCUAACUAAAUAUUUUUAGCAGGGUUAAAUAGCGAUCUUUUGUGGUUAUCCGUUUACUCCUGAACUCAUAUUAGAUUUAGGAAUGAUGAGAAUUGAUGUUGAAGAUGGUUUUAUCUUAUCCCCCAAACCCACAUGCCUGUAUCAUGUAAAUGAGAAAACUGCAGUUGUGGUGAGUUGCCUAGGAGAACCUGGAUCACUGGUAGAAGCAUUGGGAGGUGACUUUUCAUUCAGCGCUCUUUCCACUGCCAAGUGCUGCCUCCAGUUAUCUAAUGAGGUCAGGAGGAAAGUGGGACUCAAAAUAGUGAAGUUCUGUAAGGGAUGUUAGAGAAAAGUAGAAUCUGGGUUGUGGAAGAAUUUGAGGGUAAAGGCAACAAACAGGAGGAGAGUCAUGGGACUAGGUCUGUAGGAGUGAAGAGGCAACUUUGUCUAACUUCACACUGAGGUCCAAACUGGUUAUGGCAGAUGGCACAUUCCAAAGACAAUGGCAGAUGGCACAUUCCAAAGACAUAUUGCAUGUCUCACAAGCUCUUCUACAGGAUGACCUUAUCAUCUCCCCAUCCAUCAAGCAGUAGGUGAGUUCCCGUCGUGGCUCAGUGGUUAACGAAUCCGACUAGGAACCAUGAGGUUGCAGGUUUGAUCCCUGGCCUCACUCAGUGGGUUAAGGAUCUGGUGUUGCCGUGGGCUGCACACAAGGCUCAGGUCCCGCAUUGUGGUGGCUGAGGCCUAGGCCAGUGGCUACAGCAUCGAUUAGACCCCUAGACUGGGAACCUCCAUGUGCUGAGGG
rnacentral:lncRNA from 1 species